AUGCAAAAUAUUCCCCUGCUACCUCUCGGUGAUAUCACUAAUGGGUGUGAACCAUUCUCGGUGGACCUUGACGAGAAAAAAGAGCAAAUGAAGGCUCGGAGGAGAGCUGCUUAUCGAAAGAAAAAAGAGGAGGCAGCCAGCAAGCAACUAGAUGAAAAACAGCUUGAGGAAGAACACAAGGGUGACUUAACAGACGAGCAAACCGAGCAGAGAAACGCGCUGAGGCGAGCAAGUUAUCGGAGAAAAGUGGGGGACGGAACGAUCGAUCUUGAAGAAAAAAAUCAGAUGUUGCAAGAAUGGCGCGUGCAACACCCUAAAACCAUGACUGAGGAUGAAAGGGGGGAGUCAAGUGCAAAGAGAAAGGCAAAGUAUGCUGCAAAGAAAUACAUGCCAUGUGCUGAAUCGAUCGCAAUGCCACGUCCAGAUCUAAGUAGCACAUUGUCCAACCCUCACACACAUUGUCCGACUCUCACACUUUCAGCCCUCACGCAACACCAUUUGUUGGAGUUUUGGUACUACUACAAGUUGGUUUCGCUGUUAUAUUUGUUGUUUUGGUAA
rnacentral:rRNA from 1 species